rfam:Lysinibacillus sphaericus OT4b.31 genomic scaffold Ls31_scaffold1, whole genome shotgun sequence.
AGGGCAGUAUCCUUUUGUGAACGGCACCUUCCAACACGUAAGACAAAUUUUACAACAAAUAUCUGCCUUGAUCUUUUAUAGACAGGGACGGAAGA